rnacentral:rRNA from 1 species
GAUGAACGCUGGCGGCGUGCCUAAUACAUGCAAGUCGAGCGAACGGACGAGAAGCUUGCUUCUCUGAUGUUAGCGGCGGACGGGUGAGUAACACGUGGAUAACCUACCUAUAAGACUGGGAUAACUUCGGGAAACCGGAGCUAAUACCGGAUAAUAUUUUGAACCGCAUGGUUCAAAAGUGAAAGACGGUCUUGCUGUCACUUAUAGAUGGAUCCGCGCUGCAUUAGCUAGUUGGUAAGGUAACGGCUUACCAAGGCAACGAUGCAUAGCCGACCUGAGAGGGGGAUCGGCCGCACUGGAACUGAGACACGGUCCAGACUCCUACGGGAAGCAGCAGUAGGGAAUCUUCCGCAAAGGGCGAAAGCCUGACGGAGCAACGCCGCGUGAGUGAUGAAGGUCUUCGGAUCGUAAAACUCUGUUAUUAGGGAAGAACAUAUGUGUAAGUAACUGUGCACAUCUUGACGGUACCUAAUCAGAAAGCCACGGCUAACUACGUG